GGACGAUUAGCUCAACGGCUAGAGCACUUCGUUUACGUCGAAGGGGUUGGAGGUUCGAAUCCUCCAUCGUCCA
rnacentral:tRNA from 1 species